GGAGUUGUGGCUCAGGGGUAGAGCGCUCAUCUAGCACAUGCGAGAUGGUGGGUUCAAUCCUCAGCACCA
rnacentral:tRNA from 1 species